GAUGAAGAACGCAGCAAAAUGCGAUAAGUAAUGUGAAUUGCAGAAUUCAGUGAAUCAUCGAAUAUUUGAACGCACAUUGCGCCCGCUGGUAUUCCGGCGGGCAUGCCUGUUCGAGCGUCAUUUCAACCCUCAAGCACCCGGGUUUGGUGUUGGGGAUCGGCUCUGCCCUUCUGGGCGGUGCCGCCCCCGAAAUACAUUGGCGGUCUCGCUGCAGCCUCCAUUGCGUAGUAGCUAACACCUCGCAACUGGAACGCGGCGCGGCCAUGCCGUAAAACCCCAACUUCUGAAUGUUGACCUCGGAUCAGGUAGGAAUACCCGCUGAACUUAAGCAUAUCAAUAAGCGGAGGA
rnacentral:misc_RNA from 1 species